rnacentral:misc_RNA from 1 species
GUUGGAGGUGCCUGAGUCGAAGACGAUGUCGCGCGGCUGGUCGAGCACGUCCGUCGUACGCCCGUUGACGGUGAUCGACGUCGAGGACACGACCCAGUCGCCCUGCCCGGACUGGUCUGCCCAUACGAGGUCGCCCUGCCCGGACUGGUCUGCCCAUACGAGGUCGCCCUUGAAUUUGCUGUUGUCGACACCACCGAUGAGCAACUCCGCGUUGCCGACGGUGUGUGGGGUCAGGAACAAGCUGAAGAGGGCAUUCAAAC